rnacentral:lncRNA from 1 species
CACAGUCGAUAAACUUUUUGCUUAGGUAAAUUGCAUACUCUUUUCGACAAGACUAGUCAUGCUGACUUAGUACGCACCUCAUAGACCUCUCGAUAAAUUGCAUACUCUUUUCGACAAGACUAGUCAUGCUGACUUAGUACGCACCUCAUAGACCUCUCGAGGGCUGCCGAGUACCAGAUUAACAGUCGUUUCUUCAGAGGUUCCUGCUACUUUUUUUUUUAUUUUUUUUAUUUUUUUUAUUUUUUUUAUUUUUUUUAUUUUUGCAGGAUCGACCUCGAUUCCUCUUUCAUUCGCAACAUGCCUCGGCAGCUUGCUGGAC